rnacentral:snRNA from 1 species
CUACGAGUGAGUUUGUUUUGAA